AGAAACCGUGCUUCAAAAAACAAGACA
rnacentral:piRNA from 1 species